rnacentral:rRNA from 1 species
GACGAACGCUGGCGGCGUGCCUAACACAUGCAAGUCGAGCGAUGAAGUUCUUCGGAACGGAUUAGCGGCGGACGGGUGAGUAACACGUGGGCAACCUGCCUUGUAGAGGGGAAUAGCCUUCCGAAAGGAAGAUUAAUACCGCAUAAUAUUGUGUCUUCGCAUGAAGAUAUAAUUAAAGGAGUAAUCCGCUACAAGAUGGGCCCGCGGCGCAUUAGCUAGUGGGUGAGGUAACGGCCCACCAAGGCAACGAUGCGUAGCCGACCUGAGAGGGCGUUCGGCCACAUUGGGACUGAGACACGUCCCAGACUCCUACGGGAGGCAGCAGUGGGGAAUAUUGCACAAUGGGGGAAACCCUGAUGCAGCAACGCCGCGUGAGUGAUGACGGCCUUCGGGUUGUAAAGCUCUUUUACCCGGGACGAUAAUGACUGUAACGGGAGAAUAAGCCCCGGCUAACUUCGUGCCAGCAGCCGCGGUAA